rnacentral:rRNA from 1 species
AUUGAACGCUGGCGGAAUGCUUUACACAUGCAAGUCGAACGGCAGCACGGACUUCGGUCUGGUGGCGAGUGGCGAACGGGUGAGUAAUGUAUCGGAACGUGCCCAGUCGUGGGGGAUAACGUAGUGAAAAUUACGCUAAUACCGCAUACGAUCUAUGGAUGAAAGCGGGGGAUCGCAAGACCUCGCGCGCUUGGAGCGGCCGAUAUCAGAUUAGGUAGUUGGUGGGGUAAAGGCCCACCAAGCCAACGAUCUGUAGCUGGUCUGAGCGGACGACAGCCACACUGGAACUGAGACACGGUCCAGACUCCUACGGGAGGCAGCAGUGGGGAAUUUUGGACAAUGGGCGAAAGCCUGAUCCAGCCAUUCCGCGUGCAGGAUGAAGGCCCUCGGGUUGUAAACUGCUCUUGUACAGAACGAAAAGGUUUCUACUAAUACUAGGAGCUCAUGACGGUACUGUAAGAAUAAGCACCGGCUAACUACGUGCCAGCCGCCGCAGUAA